rnacentral:rRNA from 1 species
UACGUAGGGUGCGAGCGUUGUUCGGAAUUACUGGGCGUAAAGCGCACGUAGGCGGAUUUGUAAGUCAGGGGUGAAAUCCCGGGGCUCAACCUCGGAACUGCCUUUGAUACUGCAAAUCUCGAGUCCGGAAGAGGUGAGUGGAAUUCCUGGUGUAGCGGUGAAAUGCGCAGAUAUCAGGAGGAACACCGGUGGCGAAGGCGGGUCUCUGGGCCGAUACUGACGCUGAGGAGCGAAAGCGUGGGGAGCAAACAGG